GUGAAGAAAAGUCGAAUAAAAUGUCUGCCAUUGUCAACCUACGUGUUUUCCGCAAUUUUCAACAGUUUGUGUCAAUUAGACCCAUUUCUAAUUAUCCCACAUGGCCACAUCAUUUCGCAAAAAAUGAAGAAAUUCAAAAAGUGGAUGGAGAUGACAAAUUCCGUGCUGAAUCUGAGUCACAACAAGUCGUUGAAUAUCAGAUCAUACGGACGCAAAGUAUUCAAGAGAGCAGCAGUUCAUCCUCCACGUUCCAUCAAAAUGCCAACUGAUCAAGACUGGCCCUAGGUUUGGCCAGUUGCCAGAUCUUUCCAUCCAGCUAGUGUACCGCUACCCUUGCAUCAGGGCUGGGUUGUUCAAGGGACAACUGGUAAAUUUGCCAAUGCAGAGUUGAUGAAGAUCCCCAACUUUCUUCACUUGACACGACCCACUAUUGAGAGACAAUGCCAAGCAUUGAAAAGUGAGAAGCCGGCGUUUUGUAAGAAACACUUCAGAACAAAUCAGACAGUCUGGAAAGUCUGAGCUCCGUCUUUGCUGCCCAACACAUGCAACACAACACAUUUGAUGCAGCCAGCUGGUAAAGGGUGUUCCUCUUGUUACCCUGUACUGCUGUGUGUUUCGUCAAAUGAAGAAACAUGAACAACUGAAGUUUAUCGUGUAUGUUCGCGUAGUUGCUGUCCGCUGUGGUACGUUGUUGCAGGCUUGCAGCCUAUGCUGGUGAUAGAUCUUUCUGCAUCAAAUUCAACUGGCCGUUCCUUGGUGCUGGUGUCGUGUUACCGAAGUUGCAUUAUUAUUUUAUGAAAUUGGCAUUGUGUCAAUGUAGUUUACCUUUAAUAUGUGAAGAAGGAACAAAAAAGAAAUAUGGGGAUGUUUAUGUCAAACAAAUAAUAAACAUGUUUUCGGGAUUGGGAAAGGAAAGAGGAGGAUGUGGAAAGGGGAUAUUUCAAGUUUGGUUAAAAAACAGUUAAUUUAUAACCCUACAAACAUAUCCCUACCAAUUAAUCUCCAAACCCCACAAACUUACACCUUCCAAUUCUUCAGACCCUACAAACAUACACCUACCAACCCUCAAAUUUAUACCCUAAACCAUAUAAACCAAUGUCAAACCCUAUGUCUGUAAUAAAUAAAAAAAUUUAAUACAU